rnacentral:rRNA from 1 species
UACGUAGGGUGCGAGCGUUAAUCGGAAUUACUGGGCGUAAAGCGUGCGCAGGCGGUUUUGUAAGUCAGAUGUGAAAUCCCCCGGGCUUAACCUGGGAACUGCGUUUGAAACUACAAGGCUAGAGUGUGGCAGAGGGGGGUGGAAUUCCACGUGUAGCAGUGAAAUGCGUAGAGAUGUGGAGGAACACCGAUGGCGAAGGCAGCCCCCCUGGGUUAACACUGACGCUCAGGCACGAAAGCGUGGGGAGCAAACAGG